rnacentral:rRNA from 1 species
UACGUAGGGGGCAAGCGUUGUCCGGAUUUAUUGGGCGUAAAGAGCUCGUAGGUGGUUUGUCGCGUUGUUCGUGAAAACUCACAGCUUAACUGUGGGCGUGCGGGCGAUACGGGCAGACUGGAGUACUGCAGGGGAGACUGGAAUUCCUGGUGUAGCGGUGGAAUGCGCAGAUAUCGGGAGGAACACCGGUGGCGAAGGCGGUUCUCUGGGCCUUACCUGACGCUGAGGAGCGAAAGCGUGGGGAGCGAACAGG